AAUCAAUCAUCAAUAGUAAACAACUCAUCAUGCAAUAAAUUGGAACCAUUAUCCGAAUAAGUGUACAAGCCAAGCAUAGAAUCAAACAUAAAAUUAACCUAUACUACUAAUUCAAAGUACAAAGAAAAAGAAAAAGAAAAAUCCCUGUCAAUGCUUGGCAUCCAUCAGUAGAUGCCAGCAGCGCAAAUCCUCAUCCGAGUCAUCAUCAUCCUUAUCCUCCUGGGCAUCCUCAAAAUCUUCAUCAUCCUCCUAGUCAUCAUCCUGUCCCCCUGAAGUUCCAGCAGCUCCAGACCCACUACCAUAUGCCUGUCCUCGAGGCCAAGCCAUCACACUACGGAACUCAUCCAUAGUCCACCUGUGCACUGGUGGCUAGUCAUAAAGUCAUAUGAUCAUCUCGGUAGUGGCCUCCUGCCCUCUGU
rnacentral:lncRNA from 1 species